rnacentral:rRNA from 1 species
UACAGAGGGGGCAAGCGUUGUUCGGAAUUACUGGGCGUAAAGGGCGCGUAGGCGGCCUGCUAAGUCGAACGUGAAAUCCCCGGGCUCAACCCGGGAACUGCGUCCGAUACUGACAGGCUUGAAUCCGGGAGAGGGAUGUGGAAUUCCAGUGGAGCGGUGAAAUGCGUAGAGAUUGGAAAGAACACCGAUGGCGAAGGCACUUUACUGGGCUAUUACUAACACUCAGAGACGAAAGCUAGGGUAGCAAAUGGG